AAUGGUGUCGGGAGUUGGGUUCGGUCCGGCGUCGACCAUGGGGAGUAUGCCCGGGGGCUCAUGACGAGCUGCGCUGAUGAUGUCGGGAAGCAGCGGGCCGGCCGUGUGGAGCUCGAGAGGGUACUCCACAAGGCCUUCCGCAGGACCUUAGUCAGGGGAUCAGCGACGGCCGUGUGUACUGACGCGCUGGCCAAAGAUCACCAUUUGCAGGUCGUGAACGUGGGUGCUAGCUAGCAGGUUCGUGUGGAUCCGAACGGGCGAGAGCGUUUACCGGUCGCCGAUCCAAGAGCACGGUUUCAAUCGUCCAUAUCAGCUUGGAAUAACGCCAGGACACUACUGUUCGCCGCUAACAGCACAGAGCUACAAAGUCGAAGUACGCGAGGGGGACGUCAUCGUCGCCGGGACGGAUGGGUUGUUCGACAACAUGUUCGUGAAGCAAAUUAGGGACGCAGCAGAAGCCGGGAUAAGAGAAG